AGUUCAGUGCAGUUCGACCUCACCAGCCAGCCGCUGUUAGAGUUGGACACCACUGAAGACCCAGAUACAGAUGAGCAGCUUCCGGAGUCAUUUUCAGUAGAGCCUCUUAAUGAAACUGCAGAGGUUCCAUCUUUAAGGACCAUCAGUGCACUGAACGAAGAGCAGGAGCUCGACAGGAUCGAGACCAAGUCAAAGGGAUCCACAGGGAUGAAGAUGAUAGACGGGGACAGUGACAAAGUGUCCUCACUGAAAAUGAAUCUGACAAAAGUCAAUUCCACUUUCAAUUAUACUACGGCCCAGGAGGUAAGGAUGUCUCACAGUAAAUAAUGGCCACAUCAAAUUCGCAAGUCCACCAAACAGUUAAAAAAAACAUGUUAAGCAUGUAAGACAUUUUUCUGCAUGAGUUGAUAACUGUCAGUGAACACAGUGGGAUAUCACAGUGCCUUAUAUUACUGAUAACAUCUUUCCUUGAAACGUGGUUUCAAGUCAUUUUCUCUUUAUCUUUUUUUAGUCAUCCUCUCACAAUGCCGCAGACAUUUAAAAAGAUUUUUAAAAGAAUAGAGAAUUAAUUUCAUUAAAAAGUCAAUCUUUAAUCUGUUGGAGCAACUGCCGAUAACAAUCCUUGCUGAGGGGCAAAGAGUGCAGCCACAAACUUGCUGGAAGUCAAAGGAUUUGAGGUUGAUUUUUGGCGGCUAAAUAUUGGAGGGUAUUGGAAACUUGAAAAUAAUUGAAGUUUGAAGCCUUUUUAUUUCAAAUGUCCACAAACUCAUUAAACUGCGGAUGUCAGACGGUUUCAGGGCUAACGGAAACUGUGGUGGAGAAAGUUGUCCUCACUCAGGAGGACUCUCUGAAGAAGAAUUCAGGAAAAAAGAAGAAAAACAGGGAACGUGGGAAGGGCAAAGGAAAUAAAGGAAGACAUAAGAGGCAGAGACACCGCCUGACAAGCGAAGAGCAAGGAGAUGAAGAAGAGGAUGAGUUUUAUAACGGUGAAGAAUACGGUGAUGAAUACGAGGAAGAACUUUCCCCACAUGGUAACUUGCAGGAGAGCAGAGACGACAGAGAGGUGGAACUACUGCCCACGCACAUUCCUGCCCAGUUAGAAACAUCCUCAGACCCCUCCCGUCUUCAUCUGACUCACUUCUCAGAAAGAGAAACAGACGAACAGGCUGCGCGGACGACCACAGAUCCUCCCUAUCAACCGACGGGGGAGGUGGAGAAGGGUGAAGUGUCACUGCCCACACCUCCCAUCACAACGGAAGAACCGGACAAGGAUUAA
rnacentral:lncRNA from 1 species